AAGCAAAGGUUACUGAACACUGCUUUGUUGCUUGCAAAGUAGCAGCACCAGCAGCAAGUUUUUGGCUGUUCCUAGUGGACUAGAUAAAAUAGACAGGUAGGAAAACUUC